rnacentral:rRNA from 1 species
UACGAAGGGUGCAAGCGUUGUCCGGAAUUAUUGGGCGUAAAGAGCUCGUAGGCGGUUCGUCGCGUCGGCUGUGAAAUCCCGGAGCUCAACUCCGGGUCUGCAGUCGAUACGGGCGGACUCGAGUUCGGCAGGGGAGACUGGAAUUCCUGGUGUAGCGGUGAAAUGCGCAGAUAUCAGGAGGAACACCGGUGGCGAAGGCGGGUCUCUGGGCCGAUACUGACGCUGAGGAGCGAAAGCGUGGGGAGCGAACAGG